rnacentral:rRNA from 1 species
AGAAUUGAUCUUGGUCAGAACGAACGCUGGCGGCAGGCCUAACACAUGCAAGUCGAGCGUGAAAGGGGCUUCGGCCCUGAGUAAAGCGGCGCACGGGUGAGUAACACGUGAAUAAUCUGCCCCUCCGACCGGGAUAACAGACCGAAAGGACUGCUAAUACCGGAUAAGCCCACAAGCCAACCGGGCGUGCGGGAAAAGUACGGGAUCCUUCGGGACCGUAUGCGGAAGGAUGAGUUCGCGUUCCAUUAGAUAGUUGGUGAGGUAACGGCCCACCAAGUCGACGAUGGAUAGCUGGUCUGAGAGGAUGAUCAGCCACACUGGAACUGAGACACGGUCCAGACUCCUACGGGAGGCAGCAGUGGGGAAUCUUGCGCAAUGGGGGAAACCUUGACGCAGCCAUGCCGCGUGAGUGAUGAAGGCCUUCGGGUUGUAAAGCUCUGUCUAAGGGGACGAAUGGUGCAUAGAACAAGACAUUAUGCGCGUGACGGUACCCUUAAAGAAACCACCGGCUAACUCCGUGCCAGCCGCCGC